AUGGUACUGCAAUUAUUAGCUGUAGAAAGGGAAAAUGGACAAAUUGAGGUUUUGAAUCCUAUCACUGGAGUUUCUCAAGCUACAAUUUCAAAGCCCAAUGAUUUAAUUGUUCAUUCUCAAGAGAAUAAUAUUAUUGGUUUGCAUCUAUUUGGAAAACAAAAUCUUGAGAUUGAUUCUAGAAUUCGUGUUGCAGCAGAUGAUAUAUCAGAACUUUGUUCCUCCUGGGACAUAUAG
rnacentral:lncRNA from 1 species